GACGUAGGAUGCGAGCGUUGUUCGGAAUUAUUGGGCGUAAGGCGUGCGUAGGCGGCUAUUUUAAGUCUGGUGUUAAAGCUAGGGGCUCAACCCCUGUGAUGCACUGGAAACUGGGUAGCUCGAGUGCGGUAGGGGAAGGUGGAAUUCCGAGUGUAGCGGUGAAAUGCGUAGAUAUUCGGAAGAACACCGGUGGCGAAGGCGACCUUCUGGGCCGCCACUGACGCUGAGGCGCGAAAGCUGGGGGAGCGAACGGGG
rnacentral:rRNA from 1 species